GCUGGCCAAUCGGGGACGCGCACGCUCCGCCCUCUCCUUAGCCAUCCUUAGUGCUGGCAGAGAGGCGGUUCAGCCUCCGCAUCCGUCCUGCGGUGGAAGAGAUUGGAGUUUAUUUUUAGCUGGCAUAAGGCACAGUAUGAUGAAAGGCCCCACACGUCUGUUGCCACAACAAGGGUGUCAUGCUAAAACUGUAAGCCGAAAUGAAACCUCCCUGGUGCCGCCUUUGUGAGCAGGCCCUCCACACUGGCCUUGGUCCUCAGGAUUAGCUUCUUCACUUUCAACAUGGCUUCAGCAAUUCCGUGCUGCAGAACUAUGAUAAAUUCCCUUCUGAGAGGGAUGGUUCUAGGAAUCCAACUCAAGACCUUGAGCUUGCCCAGAGAGUACCUCACUCACUCAGCCAUCUCCCCAGCCCCUGAUGGUCUCUCCUUCUAAGGAAGCCAGCUCUGCUGUGGGAAAAGUGGACCUGUGAGGGUCCUGACUCAUGCUACACCCCGCAGCACCAUUUCUCAGGGUGAAUAUCAGCCCAAUAAUAUGUUCUAAAGACUCCACAACCUACUGUGUUACUCAGAAGACAGCAGCCAAGUCUCAGGAAAAUCGGGAAGGCCCAGCAGUACUCCACACCACUCUAAAUCCAUGCCUCACUCCAUCCUCAAGGAAAGGUACAGUGUGACUAAGGCUGCCCUUUAUAAGCCAGCAUUUGAGACUGUCAGACCACUUUCCAAACAUGUUCAAGCUUAUGACUAAGUAGAAUGGACCAGAAUCCCUGCAUCUACUCUUUCCCAUUUUUUUACACACAGACACCAACAUGCCUCUUCACUUUCCAGUCAUGAGGGUCCUUCAGCAUUUUAUCUGCCGCAGGUUCCCAGCACGAGUUCAUAUGGAGCUGCUCCAACACAGACCUUGUCAGGAGGAAGCACAGAUUUCUUAUACUGACAAAAAACAAAGCAAAACAAGAGCAAAAGCUCCUGGACACAACGUGGUCAAAGAUGUUCAAUAAGUUUCAUGUCCCCUGCACCAAUAGGAACCUUCCAACUUCUCCUUCCUGCCUGUCAGCAGGGACCAAGGACUACAGGUUUUUGCUUGAGUCCCUUUCAUUUAUAACGUCCUUUUUAUUUUCCUUUUUCUUUUUUUUUCUCCUGUUUUUGUUUUUAAUACAAGGCUUUAUGCAACCACAGCUGACUUCAGACUCCUGUGAACUUCUGGUUUUCUCGCUUCCUGUUCCUAAGAGCUGAGAUUACAGUCUUGUGCCAGCACACUUGGCUUAUGUGGUGCUGGGGAUCAAAGCUGAAAUUUUGUGCUUGCCACUUGAGCACAGUAUCAAUGUAGCACAUCCUAGCCCUCAGGUAUCCCUUUCUACAAAAGAAGGCUGGCAGGUAUCUAACUAAUUCCAGCCAGUUAUUGUCUGGGGUGGGGGAACCAUUUCUCUUAACUGGCCAUUUAUUAUAAUAAUCUGCUUUUAGAGAUAUUAAAAAGCAGCAAGUGAACUAGAUUUUCUUUCCUUUUUCCCUUUUCUUUUGUUCUCAGAGCUGGGAUGGAACCCAGAGCCUUGUGCGUGCUAAAGCAAGUACUCCUGCACUGAGCUAUGUCCCCAGGUUAAUUUCCCAUUUCUUUUAUUACUAUGUCUCAGCUUCACCUUCAAGGGAAAUUCCUAAUAAUUUCAGACAUCACUCCACUUAAUAAGCCUC